UUGAUGCCUGUGAUGGUGUUAAAUAUACUUUGAGAGCUAAGUCUCUAGGAAAACAAAUCAACUCUGAGGCUAUUU
rnacentral:snoRNA from 1 species